CAGACGCUUAACGACUGAGACACCCAGGCGUCCCGCCUCUUCUAAAAAAUAUGAAUGAAAUGAGGAUUCUGCAUAUAAUGUGUCAAGAUGACCUUAUAUGUGACCAAAUGCUUUCUCCUUCUCACAAGAAAAUUGCUGUAAGUCCCAAUCAGAAGGAUCACAUUACACAUGCUCCAAGAUUCUGAUUCCACAGCUCUGGGGCAGGACCAGAGUUCUCCAUUUCCAGCAGGCUCAGUGGUGAUGCCAAUGUUGCUGUUCCAAGAACCACAUAUUGAAUAGCAAAGUCCUAAACAGGCCUGCCUCAAACAUGUCUCGUAAAUGUCUGUGACUUUUCAUGGGAAGACAGUAUCUUGAAACGCCAGAUCUGUUCUGGAAAUAGAGAAGUAAGGAGAGACCCAGAUAAGAAUAAUGUGCAUCAUUAUUUUGGCUUUGGAAGAAAAAGAUAAGCCCGGUGAAAGGACAUUCAAGCAAAUGAGAACAGAGACAAAUGUGUCGAGAGAGAGGGAGAGAGAUUGGGGUGAGGGAGGCCCAGAGGAUAAGAGAGAAUCUCAAGCAAGCUCCAGGAGGGCUCGAUUCCAUGACCCAGAGAUCAUGACCGGAGCUGAAAUCAAGAGUUGGAGGCUGAACCGACUGAGCUACCCAGGUGUCCCUGUAGAACUUAAAUUUUCAUUCUUCCCUGCUGGAAAGCCAUGAAACAAAACAGAAGGCGGCUUUGAGACUGUAUGCUGUAAUGAUGACAUCCUGAGCAGGAGGUCAUCUGUCUGUUCAGCUGGUCUGCAUGUGAGAAUGUGGAACUUCUGCUGCGAAAACCAGGGAGCGCCCUGUUUCUCAUGCAAGGAUACUUUUAGAGGGGAGGAAUGCUAAUAGAAAGCCUACAUUGGAGGUCGCUGUUGGCCUCUGAACCAUUCAUGUUCAUUGCAUUUUUAUAUUUAUAGGUAGAUUUAAUUUUAUCUCUAGACAAUAAAAAUAUCUUUAAUCAAUGGCACAGACAUAACCAGGAAUGCCUUAUUUUUUUUAGGAACACAUUUUCCACACAUAGAAAUAUAUAAAAACAUAUUUUU